GCCAAGCUGUUGAAGGAAUGUUCAGUUGCA
rnacentral:piRNA from 1 species